rnacentral:tRNA from 1 species
CGCCUGCUCUCUGUGAUGGCGCGCUGAUGCAUGGCUUCUUUAUAGCGGCAUCGCCAACAUACUCCAGCGCUGUUGGUUAUGGAGGAGGCGCUGGCAAUACUGGUUGCGCUGCAGUGCAGGUUGCCGUAAUGACUGAGCGUAUAAAUAGGCUGCGUAGGGGGCACUUCAGUAUGCACGCAGGGGAUAGGCAUGGCCAUAGGGGGCUCCAGUGCCUUAUAUCCAAGAGGAGAAGGCUCCUAUCUUACCUCAGGAAAAGGAGGCUUGUAAUGUACGCCAUGGUUGUAAAUCGUCUGGGCCUUAGGCGUUAGAGCAGGCUAGCCCUAUGAUACAGUUAGCCAUGUAGCAGUGCGGUCGUAUUUGUUGCUGUGGCAGUCAUAGCCAUGCCGACGUGGUGAAAACAGUAGAAACGCCAUCUUGUGGUGGUGGUGGCGCAUGCUGUAUGAGUUCAAGUCUCAUCGUCGGCAUGGCAGCGUAGGCUAGCGUUGCGCUGUGCGCAGGGCCUUAUGCGGGCAGUGGGGGCGAAAUGUGGCCAGCCACUUCGUAGGCUGCGUUGCUGUUGUGCAUUGCCCUGCUAACGUAGGGUGAGCAUGGUAGGGCAUUGGCAUUGCGGCAUUGCAGCAGAUGGAACGAGCGAUGGGGCUGGCGCUCGUGCCAAAGCCAACGCUGCCCAUGCCCUCGCAUGCACCAAAAACAGCCCCAAAAACAGCCUCAUUCAAGCGUAAACUUGACCUUCAUUGGAGCUGUUAUAGGCUUAGGUUUCUCAAGGUCGGUUUAGCCUCCCG